rnacentral:rRNA from 1 species
GUGGGGAAUAUUGGACAAUGGGCGCAAGCCUGAUCCAGCCAUGCCGCGUGAGUGAUGAAGGCCUUAGGGUUGUAAAGCUCUUUCAGUAGGGAAGAUAAUGACGGUACCUACAGAAGAAGCCCCGGCUAACUUCGUGCCAGCAGCCGCGGUAAUACGAAGGGGGCUAGCGUUGUUCGGAUUUACUGGACGUAAAGCGCACGUAGGCGGAUUGGUCAGUUAGAGGUGAAAUCCCGAAGCUCAACUUCGGAACUGCCUUUAAUACUGCCAGUCUUGAGGCCGGAAGAGGGGAGUGGAACUCCUAGUGUAGAGGUGGAAUUCGUAGAUAUUAGGAAGAACACCAGUGGCGAAGGCGGCUCACUGGUCCGGUACUGACGCUGAGGUGCGAAAGCGUGGGGAGCAAACAGGAUUAGAAACCCCUGUAGUCC